UUUUAAACUGGCUUGCAGCCUUUAUAAAAAUAUAUGCACAUCUUCAUGCUUCAAAAAAGAAACUUAUCCAAUGCAUAACUUGGUAAUAGUUUUUGUAAUUGUUGUUAAUUGUUCUGUUCAAAAUGCUUUAAAAUAAUAAUUACGUAUAUUAACUUAAAAGUAUUAGGCGUAAUUAAUACUUAUACAUUUUUAUUUAGAGCAUAGCAUUAAGAAGGUGUGGAAAUAAAAAUGGAAAAGUAAAAUUUAUAAAUUACAAUACUUGAUGCCAAACAAUGAAGAAUAUUAAAGGAAUGUGAUGCCUGAUUUCAAAGUUUAAGUUUAAACUCAGGAUAGUUCACAAAAUAUUGAAAAUAUUGAUUAGAAAUAAGAAAUUUUGGGGUG
rnacentral:lncRNA from 1 species